CUGACAGCCUCAGUCACCGCUCACUUUUAUUGCAUCUCUUUUCCAUAAAAUGAAAGCGAACUGAGGCUGUCAUCCUUCCUAACAUCUCCUUUGGUGUUUCAUCGAAGAAAGAAAGUCAUACAGGUUUGAAACGACAUGAGGCCAGAUAUAAAUGAUGAAUGCGCUGCAAUCAGAGGAACACAGGGACUGAUCUUUUCCUCCUAAAAUGGGUCAUCCACAUGAGAUUCUCUCAUACCAACGCAUCUCCUGUUAUACACACACAUACAUUUAUACACAGAGAAAGACAGUCCGCUGGCACUAAGUCGAACGAGGCGUUGACAAUCUUAAUGCUAUGAAUAUAUGCCAGCCAUAUAAUGUCAUUUGCGUCUCUAUACUGCCUGUUAUAAACAAAUUAAAGCUAUCGCUUCGUAACGUCAAGAGCUGAAGGCAGCGACUUGUACACUCAAACACGCGCGCGCGCGCACCGACGCCCAUUAAAACACCACGCACGACACACGGCAAAAAGCAUCCUGUGUCCAAAGCCCCUCACUCACACACACACACACACACACACACGACAUAAUUCAGCUGUAGGAUAUGGAGAGUUUGCUGAGUGUAAACUACAGCAUCUCACUGCCGCUGCCAUUCAAACGUCCAUCGGUUAUUGAUUUAUUGGCCCUUAAGAAAUAACGUCACCACGUUUAAAAGCAU